rnacentral:tRNA from 1 species
GGGUAAAUGGCGAAACUGGUAGACGCAUUACACUCAAAAUGUAACGAUAUAUAUCAUAAGGGUUCGAUUCCCUUUUUACCCA